CUAGUUUGAUAUUUUAAAUCACAUCAAGCUUGAGUCCCUAGCUAAGUGACUCAACUUGCAACCCUAGUUAAUAUAGAACCCCUUAAUUAUAUCACCAUUGCUCUUGUUGAUGGUUAUUGUUGCAGUUCAAAUUUAAUUAGGAUUAGUAGAGUCCCAAACUAAAAUACAAUGACAAUAAGGUGCCCAAUGAGGAGUUUGUCUUGGAGGGGAACUCACCGGUGCAGGGAUUAUUCCUCUUGGGGUCAUAUUGUAACUAUUUAAACAAAAGAAAAUGUUGAGAGGUGCUAUGGUGAACAGUUUACUUUCUUCUUUAGAUUUUGUUAAAAUUUGAUGCCUCG
rnacentral:lncRNA from 1 species